UACGGAGGGUGCGAGCGUUGUCCGGAAUCACUGGGCGUAAAGGGCGCGUAGGUGGCGCGGCCAGUCAACGGUGAAAGCUCGACGCUCAACGUCGAGUCGGCCGUCGAUACUGCCGCGCUGGAGCACUGUAGAGGCUCAUGGAAUUCCGGGUGUAGCGGUGGAAUGCGUAGAGAUCCGGAAGAACACCGGUGGCGAAGGCGGUGAGCUGGGCAGUAGCUGACACUGAGGCGCGACAGCGUGGGGAGCAAACAGG
rnacentral:rRNA from 1 species